CUUGACAGCCCUCGAUCAGUCUAUGCUUUUAUUGCAUGGGAAAGAGCAGCGUGAACAUCCUUCAGAAAUGCUUUGGACCAGCAUGAGGUGCAAUUAAGGAAAGCUGUUAAAGCUCAGAUCUGCUGCGUGGUUUGUGGCUUUUCACUCUGGAGGUGUUUGGUGAGGUCCGUUCCAGACUGGAGUCUGUUUGAGUUUCCACACAGUUCAGAGACGCCAACGGACGACGCUCCCUGUGUACAUGUGUUGCUUGGAAACCAGCGCACUGGGACCGUGUAGUGCAACACACAGAGGCACUGGAUGCAGUUCAUCUCAUGGAUGGAUCAGGGAUGUCAUCUGGUUGUCUCAAUUUGUGUAGUCUGGACUUUGGCUGGCUUCACCCCCUCCAGCUCAAAGGAUAAAGCCGGAUCAAGAACACAUCCCUUCUAGUAUCCAUGGGCUUGUAGAAA